rnacentral:rRNA from 1 species
GAUGAACGCUGGCGGCGUGCCUAAUACAUGCAAGUCGAGCGAACAGACGAGGCGCUUGUUGCUCUGACGUUAGCGGCGGACGGGAGAGUAACACGUGGAUCACCCCCUUAUCUGUCUGGGAUCACUUCGGGAAACCGGCGCUAAUCCCGGAUAAUCUCUUGCACCGCAUGGUUCAAUAGUGAAAUACGGUGUUGCUGUAACUUCUCGAUGGAUCUGAGCUGCUUUGGAUAGUUGGUAAGGUAAAGGCUUAGCAAGGCAACGAUGCGUGGCCGACGGGAGGGGAGGAUCGGCGACACGGGAACGGAGACACGGACCAGGCGCCUACGAGAGGCAGCAGUAUGGAAUCUUCCGCAAUGGGCGAGAGCCUGACGGAACGGCGCCGCGUGUGUGGUGAAGGUCUUCGGAGCGUAAAACUGGGUUAUGAGGGAUGAACAGAUUUGGAAGUAACUGUGCACUGCGUGACGGUACCGAAUCAAAAAGCCACGGCUAACUACGUG